rnacentral:rRNA from 1 species
UGACCCCUAAUCGGGGUUGCGGACAGUGCCUGGUGGGUAGUUUGACUGGGGCGGUCUCCUCCCAAAGAGUAACGGAGGAGCACGAAGGUGGGCUAAUCACGGUUGGACAUCGUGAGGUUAGUGCAAUGGCAUAAGCCCGCUUGACUGCGAGAAUGACAAUUCGAGCAGGUGCGAAAGCAGGUCAUAGUGAUCCGGUGGUUCUGAAUGGAAGGGCCAUCGCUCAACGGAUAAAAGGU